rnacentral:lncRNA from 1 species
GCCGACUUGCCAAGUCUAAUUUGGGAAACUUUGAAGGACGGGCUUCACUAUAUCAGUGAUUGAUUUGUUUACAUGAAAUAGAAGCCCACUCCAGCUAGUUUAAGCAAAAAAUGUAAUUCAAUAUAAGGCGUUAGAACUAUCUCACAGAUCUCAAGGGCAGGCAAGUCGCACAAGGACCUUACACUCAGGACUGGUGUUGGGGGAAUGCCCACCUUUCCGUCCACUUCUCUCAAAACACCAAUUUCCUUUCUGUCUUUCAGACACGUGUCCCAAGCAGCCCUCCUUGGCAAAUCUACAUUUCCUUACCCAACCAGGACCUGUGGCAAACAGUCUGGCCUCUCCUUGUCCUAAUUCCAAAGUUCAGGAAUCUGACUGGCCCAGCCUGGCCUCUAGAGUGGUUGCCUGUGAGUCAGGUACCUGCUUCUGCCCCAGUUAACUGGACAAGGAGGCUGGGCUGCAUAGAAGAACCAAGGACCCAGGAGACUCCCUGGGCUUGUGGGCUGAGCAGGUACCUACUGAAGAAACCUGAAGAAAACUGAAGAAACCUACUUCAGUUUGGCCGGUCCUGGGGACUAGGAGCAGGCCAGGUGGGCCACGUUUCUGCCCAGUCAUUUCCCAGUGCUGAGCUUCUUCAGGGGUAAAAUGGCUUUCUCUGGCAUUUUAGUGUCUUAGUGCCUCUAGAAACUCUGGAAGGUUCUUUUUAUUUUUUACUUUAUUACUUUUUUUUUUUUUUUUGAGACGGGGUCUUGCUCUGUGCAGCGGCGCCAUCUCGGCUCACUGCAACCUCUGCU